CGUCUAUAUACGUAUAGCAUAUCAAUAAGCGGAGGAAAAGAAACUAACAAGGAUUCCCCUAGUAACGGCGAGUGAAGCGGGAAGAGCUCAAAUUUGAAAUCUUCAAGGUUUUACCUUAGACGAAUUGUAGUUUAAAGAAGUGCUUUCGGUUAGAGGAGGUAGGUAAAAGGUUCUUUGGAAUAGGACAUCAUAGAGGGUGAGAAUCCCGUAUUUGAUCAUCUUUCCACUAAGCGUUGUGAUACACUUUCAAAGAGUCGGAUUGUUUGGGAAUGCAGUCCAAAAUGGGUGGUAAAUUUCAUCUAAAGCUAAAUAUUGGCGAGAGACCGAUAGCGAACAAGUACCGUGAGGGAAAGAUGAAAAGAACUUUGAAAAGAGAGUUAAACAGUACGUGAAAUUGUCAAAAGGGAAGCGUUUGACACCAGUGUUGUUUAGUUGAAAAUCAAUUCAAUAGUUUUUGAUUCUAGAGUAGUAUUGACUUCAUCAGCUUGCUGCUUUCUUCUCAGGAAAUUAUUGAAUGCACUUUUCAGUUAACAAGUCAACAUCAAUUUCUUUUGUUGUAAAAGGGUAAGAGGAAGGUGGCUUGCGCUUUCGGCGUCAAGUGUUUAUAGCCUUUUAUCUCUGCAAUCGGAGAGAUUGAGGUCUGCAGCGUAGAUCCUUCGGGGUUAGAUACAUUGGUGCUAAGCUAUAGCCUUGUAUAGACAACUUGUUGACUAUGCUCAGUCAUGUAGCUUACUCGCUGAUGCUAUUUUACCUACGCUUAGGAUGUUGACGCGCGUGUGUGCGUUG
rnacentral:rRNA from 1 species